rnacentral:rRNA from 1 species
UAAUACGUAGGUGGCAAGCGUUGUCCGGAUUUACUGGGCGUAAAGCGCGUGUAGGCGGCUCGUUAAGUCUGUCGUGAAAUCUCCCGGCUUAACCGGGAUAGGUCGACGGAUACUGGCGGGCUUGAGGGGAGCAGAGGAAGGUGGAAUUCCCGGUGUAGUGGUGAAAUGCGUAGAUAUCGGGAGGAACACCAGUGGCGAAGGCGGCCUUCUGGGCUCUACCUGACGCUGAGACGCGAAAGCGUGGGGAGCGAACCGGAUUAGAUACCCGGGUAGUCCACGCCGUAAACGAUGGAUACUAGGUGUGGGGGGUAUCGACCCCCUCCGUGCCGAAGCUAACGCUCUAAGUAUCCCGCCUGGGGAGUACGGCCGCAAGGCUA